rnacentral:sRNA from 1 species
CCCUAGCCCUGAUAGAAAUGGAAAUCCUUUGAUAAAAAACGGUAAUUUUUUCUUAUAAAAAAAGAGCGACCGACGGAAGCUCUUGUUUUAUAAGAAAAAAUACUGUUUUGUUCAAAGAUUGAAAUGGAUAGCAGGAAUAGCU